rnacentral:lncRNA from 1 species
CCACCCUGACAAAUAACAAGUAUUUUAGCACAAAAAACAACAGAAUUAGAACAGCGAUAACAAUUACAGUGAACAAGUAUAACAACAGGAACCCACGAACGCUUUGGUACCUAUUUUUACGAUAUACACAGAUAGCGGCAUUUCAUGUUUGUGUUUAUUUUUAAGUUAGAAAACAAUCAUGGUAUAAGACCACCACACUUAUACGAUUACAAAAAUAUAAGCAUAGUACCACUUGUAGUUCAGAAUUACCAUACGUAGUACCACUUGUGAUUCAGAAGUACCACGUGUAGUUCAGAAUUACCAUCACUUGGCCAGUAAAAACAUCGUAGUUGAAAAUAGGUAGUAAAAAUAUGCGAUUUACAAGUUCAUACAUGGGUAACAUAGCAUGCGCUUAUAUUUCAGUACGGAUGGUAAUACAUUUAGAUAUAAAUAUCUAGACUUAUGACAGACUGUGAAACGAGAAACAUUUUUAUAGUUGCAGAUAAAAUCGUACGGCACUUUAAUUAGCCAUUCCGAAGUUGAUGAGAGGACUGCGGACGAGUGUUAAAAGUGCCCAAAUUAAGAAAUGAACCAAAUGACUAAAAAGACCACCUCAAAAUUAGUAAGUAUACAAAGUUUGAAGACGUUUACAUGAAUACCCUUCCAAUAAUAAGCUUUCGAAAAUUGUGAAAUUACUGAUUAAAAGAUUGUUUUUGGGACGCACGUCCCAAAAACAAAAAUUACAAUACAUUUCAGUAAAUAUCACCAUUUUCGAAAGCUUAUUAUUCGAAGGACAUUCAUGUAAGCGUCAAACUUUGUAUACUUACUAAUUUUGAGUCUUUUUAGUGAUUUGGUAUUUCUUAAUUUGGGCACUUUUUAACGCUCUUCCCCAGUCCACUCAUCAACUUCGGAAUGGCCAAUUAGCUCUGCCAAUAGAGCACGGCCAAUUAAAGGUGAUUAGUAAUCAAAGCAUGGUUUCCAUUCGGUCUUUAUAUCUAUGACAAGUUUUCAUGCGACAUGUUUUAUUUGCUCCUUCGCCAAGUUUUUCCAAGACAAGUACACUUUUUCAAAAGCUAACAAACUAGCUUUUGAACAGGUGUGCAUGUCAUAGAAAAAAUAGGCAAAGUACAAAUUUUGCUUGUCUGUAUGGGUUAACAAAGAAAAUUUGACAAAUUAAUUUGAGCACUUGUUGUUGUACUAGCUAUUGUGGCGGCCUGAAGACAUGGGCCUUGUCAUGAAAAAAUGUGCUCUGAACGUACUACUCACGUGCAAAUAAAACUGGUCAUAUGAAAAUUUGUCAUGUGUAACCACAGAUCUGAAAACUGGGUACCAUUUGAAUUCAAUGAACCAAUUUUGAGAAAAUGUCUUUGCCUGGCCUACCUUGAAACAUACAGCUCCCUCCCCGCAUCUCUUUUAACGAGAACGUUUUAUACAGGGUUCGUACACGUCAGAAAGAGUCAAAUUCAAGGACUUUUUAAAGACAUCCAAGGUCAUUUAUCAGCAAAUUCAAGGAGUAAAUACUGAAGAGAAAGCGUUAAAAAAUCUGACGUUGAAUUGUUCAAUUUCCGUUUUGAAUGUCAAACAAUUUCAGAAAAUAUUCAUAAACUAAAGCAAAAAGAAUUUAAGAACUCUCAAGUACUUCUUUACAAAUUCAAA